CAUUCUAUGACCUAAUAUGGAAUCCAUGACGACAUAGAACGCCAGCUCUCGGGCUAUAUAAAGCGCAGUUCCACACAGUGUUGAGUUAUUCUGUGGUGAGCUUAGGAAGAAAACGGUUAACCUUAAAACACUCAGCUGAGGACAGUGCAGGACAGAGUUGUCAAUACCAAAUGCCUGUUGCAGUAGAUGUCGUCUGAAAGUCUUAAGUGUCACAUGGACAUGCAGUAUUGCCUUUAUCCACUUAUACAGUAUACUGAAGAAUGAUAGUUGAGCUCAUUUGGUUUGUGCUUUAAUUUAAAGGUCCAUUUGACAAUUCAAAACUUCAGGAGCGGGAGGCUGAUCAGAAGGGCACAUGUCAAAACAUGCAGCUGGACAACAAGAGGUUCCUCAUACAUGCCCUGAUCUCCACCCCUCUUACCAGCUGCUGCUUCAACCCAUCACUCUACAGGCUACACUGGGUGUCCACGCUCAGAUUAAAGUCUCUGCCCACUGAAUGCUGUGUCUACUAGGGAGAGUAGAAGUUACAUCUCUGCACAUGACUUAUUCUGUGGUGAGGGUAAAACCGGUAAACCUUAAAACACUCUGAGAAACAUUGCAAGACAGGUAGAAGGGGAAACAUGUUUACGUUAUGAAGCAUUAAGAUAAUAUGAUAAUUAAUUGACAUGUUUUUUUAAUUAGAAUUAUGCUGCGUUGUGUAAACUAAUUCAAAGAUCAGACAUAAAGCCAAACAUUUUUAGAAAAGAAACGCUACCAAAUAUGAUUAGAAGUACUAAAGCAUAUACAGUUAGUAUGUGUUAAUAUAUAUAUAUAUUAGUUCAGUUUAUAUAUUAAAUAAAAAAAAUACUUAAAUCGUCUCAAAACUUUUGGUUGCUCAAAGGUCCUUGUUAUUAGAUUUGCUUGUUUCCUUCCUCUGGGUGCAGUGCUCUGUGCAUGACUAUCAGCUUCAUGCCCACAAUGCUGUGUGCACUCUGUACCGGGUGGGUCAAGGUUUGGGACUGGCAUAAAGACAGGAAUGGCCCUACUUUUAAAACACCUAAGCAUCUAAUGUAAAGACCUUGUUUUUUAAUAUUACCAAUUUGUCUAACAUAAUAAUGAAUAGAUAUAUAUUUUUAAUAGAGAUUAUUAUCCAUCGUGUAAAUACGUUAAAACAUGUAAAGGUCAACAAGUUUUUUUUAAUUAAACACUUAACUAAUAUGAUCAGAACUUCCAGGGUGUCUGACCCUACCGGCCAAGCUUGACGAGAGGUGUCCAGAGCAUACGUGCAAGCGGGACAGGGCCGCUUGUCGUCCUAGAAGUCUUGGACUUCCAG